GCAGCCUGGACAAUCUGUCUCAGAGAGGGUUGGAGACGGGGAUGCCCAGAAUGGGAGGUGGUGAAGUCGCGAAGGCUUCAGCGAUGUUCUGGGGAGGUGACGAGACCCGAGAGACAAGAUCGCGCUCCUGCCUCCGACGGAGGAGAUUGUGAGACAUGGUAGGAAAUGAAACCACGAGAGGAGGGGUCCUAGGGAGUUUAAAAAAUUCUGGGGGAGGCCUGAAGUCGCCACGGGGUCGAGGGGGAACUGGCUGCCAUCUUUGUCAAGGCGGCGCUUGGCACCGGUUACCCGGGUAACUGACCGCCAUCUUGGUAAGGGAAAGGCGCGCCGUACUUUGGGGGGAAAUCAUUGAAGAUCUCUGAUCAGGAAGGAUGCCCUGGCAGAGGUGGGCGGGGUGGAUUCACUGCCACCCACUGGAAUACCCCCGGCCCUGCCACCCCAAAUCAAACUCGUUGAUUUGAUUUUCUGUCUGCAGACCGAGGCUGGAGAAUUAAAACUCGAGGUAGGGCGAAAACUAGGACUGGAGAAAGCGAUGGGGAGAUGGAUUUGGAUUUCAGUCCAAAGGGAAAUGAGGGGCUGUGGACCUGAGAUCUACCGAUUCGGGGGAACAAGAGAGGAACAUAAUAUGCCUUACAAACUUGAACUGACUUCUGAAUUUCUAUCCUAUGCUGACCGUGAUGACUUUUCUAAACUCCUUAUGCAAGUUAAAUGUAGAGAAGUCUUUGGUGAUAUGAAACACAAAUCAAAUUUCCCGCCAGGGUCUGGUUGACUCAUGCAAAUCAACACAACCUGAGUACUGAUACCCUGUGACUGUAGAAGGAGAAAUAUUUGUUCUGUCUGUGGGAAAUGAUUUCAAACAUCGGUGUGCAUGAAGAGAACCCAGUGAUAAACACGCAUACCUGAGCAUGUUCCAGCGAGUAGUCUGGGGAAAGAACUUUACCCUGUCUCACAUUCCAAGUGAGGGCAUUCAAAUUUCCUGUGGAAAGAACUCUAACCAGUCAAGAAGAAUGGGAAAUCAUUUGCAGUGUGGAGAUAACAGGAUCAAUCUGCAUGCGGUCAAGACUUCAAUUGAUCACCCAUCCUGAAGAGAUACAAAGAUGACAUCUCUGCGGAGAAACAGUGGAAAUAUAAGGAUUCUGGUAAAAAAUUCAAAAAUCCAUCGCAGAUGGAAGUCCAUGGACAAAUUCACACUGGGGAGAAACCAUUUACCUGUUCCAUAUUUGCGGGAAGGUAUUCAAUCAGGCAGUGAAACUCCUGUCAUAUUAACGAAUUCAGGUUGAUGAGAGUCUGUGUGUCCAGAGAGUCUAUGAGAGUUCAGAGUGUAGGAAGAGAUUUACACAGACGUCCUGCCUCAUUUUACACCAGCAGAUUCACACUGUGGAGAGGCCAUUAGCUGUACUUAAUGGUACAAAAAAGAAUCAUGCCUUUAUCUGACCUGAAUAUACACCUGUGAGUUUACACCAGGGAGAAGCUAUUUACCUGUUCUGUGUGUGGAAAGAGAUUCCCUCAUUCAUCUGGCCUUCAAUCACACCAGCGUAUUCACACUGAGCAGCAACCACUCAGCUGCAUGUCCUGUGGAAUGAAGUUCAAACAUUCACCUGACCUUGUUGAACAUCAGGAGUUCACUCUGGGGAACAGCCAUUCACCUGCUCUCUGUUUGGGCAGUGCUUCGUUCAGUCAUCCAGUUUGCUGAGACACCAGUGAGUUCACACUGGAAGUAAGCCUGCACUUUCUGUGGGAAAGAUUUCCGGCUGUCAUCCACCCUCGUUGAACACCAGCAAAUUCACGUGGGGGGAGAAACCAUUCACUUGCCCUGUGUGUGGAAAGGAAUUCACUGUCAUCUGCAUUCGAGUCUCACCAACUAAUUCACACGAGGUGAAGCCGUUCAGUUCUACUUCUUGUGGGAAGCAUUUCAGGCGUUCAUCCUUUCUACUUGCUCAGCAAUGAGUUCACACCGGAGAGAGGCUGUUCAUUUGCUCUGUGUGUGGGGGAAGGGAAUCACUUAGUCCUUUCAACCUUUUGACACUUGUGAGUUCACAAGUGAACCUGAAUUACGAGUGUACUGCAACAGUUUGAGGAAACUCAUAACCGUAUUGUCCAGGACAACUAAUGGUGUCCCAGCCAGUGAAAGCCAUAUCCUCUGAAAGAAUUGGAUUCUGCUGUUGUUGUUGAUCACUUCCAGGAUUGACAGUCUGAGAAUGUUAGAUUUGUUUCUUCCAAUGUUAACGCACCUUUAACUGGAUGGAUUUUGGUAAUCUGGAUUUAUUCCUGAUUUUUGAGACUGCAGUGUCCCUUUUUAAAAGUACCAAUCAUGAUCCUGAAUUCAAGAAAUGUGUUUGGAUGUGGGGAGGGAAUCACAUGUCCUGUGCAAGGGAAACACAAAGAUCAUCGAUUUCCAAUUAGAAAGCUGACAAAUGAGAUAAUCAAAAAAGCUUCCUCCAACAAAUCUCCCGGGCUGAACUGUCCCAUUCAUGAUGUUUAUUGCACAGAUUAGCAGCAUCUCAUCUGACAACUUUAGGAUGAAGAAUGAAAUGAAAUCAUUUGGUUUCAGGGUCCCUGCUUAGUUUGGCAUUUUCUUCUCCAUUCUCUCAACCUUCGCAUUCCCCACCGAUACUGGAGAGUUUCCCUGUAUGCCGGGUCAGGCAGUGAGUUCUACAAUCAAUCCAGACUGAAAACCAAGACAAAGAACGUCCUGCUUGAAGUGGUUAACAACUUCUUUGACCUUGAGCCUGUGAUGAAGUCAUGUCUCUUUGAGGCAGAGUUCAGUACACAUGUAAGGGAAGGAGCAAGCACCUUUAGACAUCUCUUGAAAAGCACAAUGAAUAACCUCAAGCUAACUUGGAGCACCAAAAUGUUGGUUUCUGAGGCCUAUGCUCUCAAAUCCUUGUUGUCAGGAAUUGGAAAAAAAACAGAUGACUCGUAUCAAUUGUCACAUAAGGUAUGAGCAUUGAGCAAUUCACCAGAGAGGAGUUACUUGCUCUACAGAAUAGCAUUUUGGGAACUUACAAACCCAACUGAGAGGGCAGAUGAGGCCACAGUUGAACGUUGCAUCCACAAUGAACUGCCGAUGCUGGAGAAUCUGAGAUAACACGGUGUGAAGUUGGAUAAACACAGCAGGCCAAGCAGCAUCAGAGGAGCAGGAAAGCUUGAUGUUUCAAGUUGGGACCCUUCUUCAGAAACAGGAAUUUUCUGAAGGGCCCCUGGACCGUACUGUGCCUGCCUAUCGACAUAUUUUCUUUCAAAUCUGUGAUAAUGCAUCUGCAAUAACAUUUUUACAACCUGCAUAAUGUACAAUUAGUAAAUUAAAAGCCUGUAACAUAAGACUCCAAUGAAAUUGUCUUGUAUUCUUAUCCUUAAAUCUUUCCCAAAGGAGGGUUGUGAGAGAAGGCUGUGGCCUGCACAUGCACCAAACUCAAUAAUUCUUUUUUAAUGGCAGGGUAUUUUUCAGGUGGAUAUUGAGUUUCUUUGAAAAAAUAAUGAAUUGGCCUUUCAAUUCCACCAGCAUCGUGCUGCAUCAACGUAGCUCCAACUCCUACAGUGCUCGCGUAGACAGUGACUUAA